rnacentral:rRNA from 1 species
UGGGGGAAUAUUGCACAAUGGGCGCAAGCCUGAUGCAGCAACGCCGCGUGAGGGAUGACGGCCUUCGGGUUGUAAACCUCUUUUAGCAGGGAAGAAGCGAAAGUGACGGUACCUGCAGAAAAAGCACCGGCUAACUACGUGCCAGCAGCCGCGGUAAUACGUAGGGUGCAAGCGUUGUCCGGAAUUAUUGGGCGUAAAGAGCUCGUAGGCGGUCUGUCGCGUCUGCUGUGAAAUCCCGAGGCUCAACCUCGGGCCCGCAGUGGGUACGGGCAGACUAGAGUGCGGUAGGGGAGAAUGGAACUCCUGGUGUAGCGGUGGAAUGCGCAGAUAUCAGGAAGAACACCGAUGGCGAAGGCAGUUCUCUGGGCCGUAACUGACGCUGAGGAGCGAAAGCGUGGGGAGCGAACAGGAUUAGAUACCCUGGGUAGUCCACGCCGUAAAACGUU